rnacentral:rRNA from 1 species
UACGUAGGCAGCGAGCGUUGUUCGGAGUUACUGGGCGUAAAGAGUGCGUAGGCGGUUUUCUAAGUUUGGUGUGAAAUCUCCCGGCUUAACUGGGAGGUGCGCCGAAAACUGGAAGGCUUGAGUAUGGGAGAGGUAAGCGGAAUUCCUGGUGUAGCGGUGAAAAUUCGUAGAUAUUCGCAAGAACACCAGUGGCGAAGGCGGCUCACUGGUCCGGUACUGACGCUGAGGUGCGAAAGCGUGGGGAGCAAACAGG